UUCGGUGGCGCCGGAAGUGAAGACGAUUUCUCUCGGCGAAGCUCCGAUAAGCUCGGCGACUUGUGCGCGGGCGGUUUCGACGGCAGUUUCCGAUUCCCAACCGUAGAGGUGAGUACGGGAGUGAGGGUUGCCGUAACGGCUGAGGUAAAAAGGAAGCAUCGAAUCUAAAACCCUAGGGUCCACUGGGGAAGUCGCUUGCAUGUCGAGGUAAAGAGGACGGCCCGCGAUUUUCACGCCUUUCAUGAUAAUUCCUUCUGUGUCCUCAUACUCUGUUGGGGAUGCAACUGCUGCCGCUGUGGAGAAGCGGCGGAGAAGGGUGGUUUGUUUAGUUUUGAUUAGGGUUUGACGAAGAAGCU
rnacentral:lncRNA from 1 species